rnacentral:lncRNA from 1 species
CGUUGAAUGAAGAUAAUUCGUUUUCCUCUUUCGUCCACUUAUUUCUAGGUUUCGGACCGGUAACAUUCUCGACAACUUCGGUGGGAUGUUUCCACCCGAAUUCAAUGGCUUGCCAUACCCGCUCGUCGAUGGCAAUAAGAAACGCCCUCAUACGCACUUUCCAAUAAGCGUAAUUAGUGCCAUCGAAGAGAGGGGGUCGAUUGAUGUUACCGCCCUCGGCCAUGAUUUACAACCUAUACCCGUUCUGAUACCACUUGUAAGAUAUGGAUCCCGAGGAUCUAAAAGGUAAGUAACACCUAGAAGGGGGUGAAUAGGUGUAAAAACGGCAAACACAAAAAUCUCGAUGCAAAUAAAACGAAAUAGUGGAAAAUAAAACAGCACACCGAGAAUUUAACGUGGAAAAACUCCAAUCCGGAGUGAAAAACCCACGGGAACGAUCACGC